AGCAGCCGCGGUAAUUCCAGCUCCAAUAGCGUAUAUUAAAGUUGUUGCAGUUAAAAAGCUCGUAGUUGAACUUCGGGGUUCACCCAUUAGUCAGGCUUAAUUGUCUGUACUGGUGAGAUGAAUCUCUACCUUCUAAAGAACCGUAAUGCCAUUAAUUUGGUGUGAUGGGAAAUCAGGACUGUUACUUUGAAAAGAUUAGAGUGUUUAAAGCGGGCUAACGUCUGAAUACAUCAGCAUGGAAUAAUGAAAUAGGACGGAUUGAUUCUAUUUCGUUGGUUUCUAGGAUCACCGUA
rnacentral:rRNA from 1 species